GACAAAGGGGGCAAGCGUUGCUCGGAAUUACUGGGCGUAAAGGGCGCGUAGGCGGCUCGCUAAGUCGGAUGUGAAAGCCCUGGGCUUAACCCAGGAAGUGCAUUCGAAACUCCCGAACUGGAGUCCCGGAGAGGAAGGCGGAAUUCUCGGUGUAGAGGUGAAAUUCGUAGAUAUCGAGAGGAACAUCGGUGGCGAAGGCGGCCUUCUGGACGGUGACUGACGCUGAGACGCGAAAGCGUGGGGAGCAAACAGG
rnacentral:rRNA from 1 species